rnacentral:tRNA from 1 species
GGGGCCAUGGCUCAAUGGCACAGCACCUGCCCUGCAAGCAGACAUCUGGGGGUUCGAGUCCCCCUGGUUCCACCA